GUAACCUGUCUAUACUGUGUUAUUUGAGGUUUAGGAUAGAUACCUAUGAUUCUCCAUUUAGGCCAACCUCUUCCUACUCUUAUGACCCCCUCUUCCAUUGGCUGGGGAUCUGGGAAAAAGUAUUUAGCACGAUCACAUUUUCUUGUCAACAGAAAAAAUGUCAGAAGGCAAAUUCAGUUGAUGUGGAGCAGAAGACAAGAAAGAAGAAGGAGAGGGGCACUUCAUCCCCCUCUCCAAUUCCAUCUGACUGUUCUGAACGGAAUGGCUCUGCUACCUCUGACCCCUCACCCUCUGACCAACUCUCCUCCCUCCAUCCACCUCCCUCUCCUGUUAAAUGUUCCUCUCAGCCUUGCUCUCCUGCUAAACAACCCUCUGUACCCCGGUCACCUGCCAAAACCCUUCCCCAGUGAAAUCCUCUCCAGUGGUGUCCCACCCUAGUUCUCCCUCUCCUACCAACCCUCUGGACCGUCAUGGAGACACCAGUCAGGAGGGCACAACAGUCAGACCUCUGUCUCUUCAGGACCACUCUAGUCCAAGGCCCCAGAGACCAG
ensembl:lncRNA